rnacentral:rRNA from 1 species
UACGUAGGGCGCAAGCGUUGUCCGGAAUUAUUGGGCGUAAAGAGCUCGUAGGUGGCUUGUCACGUCGGGUGUGAAAGCUUGGGGCUUAACUCCAGGUCUGCAUUCGAUACGGGCUGGCUAGAGGUAGGUAGGGGAGAACGGAAUUCCUGGUGUAGCGGUGAAAUGCGCAGAUAUCAGGAGGAACACCGGUGGCGAAGGCGGGUCUCUGGGCCGAUAUCGACGCUGAGGAGCGAAAGCGUGGGGAGCGAACAGG